rnacentral:siRNA from 1 species
ACGGAUCGGGCUAUGAUACCAUA